GGGCGGAUAGCUCAGGUGGUAUAGAGCGCCUGCCUUACAAGCAGGAGGUCGGGAGUUCGAGUCUCUCUUCGCCCACAA
rnacentral:tRNA from 1 species